rnacentral:rRNA from 1 species
CAUGCAAGUCGAACGAACCACAGACCUUCGGGUCUGUGGUUAGUGGCGAACGGGUGAGUAACACGUGAGCAACCUGCCCUUGACACUGGAAUAACAGCUGGAAACAGCUGCUAAUACCGGAUACGACCUCCGAUGGCAUCAUCUGGAGGUGGAAAGCUCCGACGGUCAAGGAUGGGCUCGCGGCCUAUCAGCUUGUUGGUGAGGUAACGGCUCACCAAGGCUUCGACGGGUAGCCGGCCUGAGAGGGCGACCGGCCACACUGGGACUGAGAUACGGCCCAGACUCCUACGGGAGGCAGCAGUGGGGAAUAUUGCACAAUGGGCGAAAGCCUGAUGCAGCAACGCCGCGUGCGGGAUGACGGCCUUCGGGUUGUAAACCGCUUUCAGUUCCGACGAAGGUAACCUGACGGUAGGAACAGAAGAAGGACCGGCCAACUACGUGCCAGCAGCCGCGGUGAUACGUAGGGUCCGAGCGUUGUCCGGAAUUAUUGGGCGUAAAGGGCUUGUAGGCGGUUCGUCGCGUCGGAAGUGAAAACUCAGGGCUUAACCCUGAGCCUGCUUCCGAUACGGGCGAACUAGAGGGAUGCAGGGGAGAACGGAAUUCCUGGUGGAGCGGUGGAAUGCGCAGAUAUCAGGAGGAACACCGGUGGCGAAGACGGUUCUCUGGGCAUUUCCUGACGCUGAGAAGCGAAAGCGUGGGGAGCAAACAGGCUUAGAUACCCUGGUAGUCCACGCCGUAAACGGUGGGCACUAGUGUGGGGGACAUUCCACGUUCUCCGUGCCGCAGCUAACGCAUU